GCAGCAGUGGGGAAUAUUGGGCAAUGGGAGGAAUCCUGACCCAGCGACGCCGCGUGAACGAAGACGGCCUUCGGGUUGUAAAGUUCUUUUAUGUGGGAAGAAUUAAGUGACGGUACCACAUGAAUAAGCCCCGGCUAACUACGUGCCAGCAGCCGCGGUAAUACGUAGGGGGCGAGCGUUGUCCGGAAUUACUGGGCGUAAAGGGCACGCAGGCUGUGCUUCAAGUCAGCUGUAAAAGGAUGCGGCUUAACCGUGUUAUGCAGUUGAGACUGAGGUGCUGGAGUACCGGAGAGGCAAGUGGAAUUCCCAGUGUAGCGGUGAAAUGCGUAGAUAUUGGGAAGAACAUCGGUGGCGAAGGCGACUUGCUGGACGGUAACUGACGCUGAGGUGCGAAAGCCAGGGUAGCGAACGGGAUUAGAUACCCCGGUAGUCCUGGCCGUAAACGAUGAAUGCUAGGUGUGCGAGCAGAGAUGUUGGUGUGCCGCAGUUAACGCGAUAAGCAUUCCGCCUGGGGAGUACGGUCGCAAGAUUGAAACUCAAAUGAAUUGACGG
rnacentral:rRNA from 1 species